rnacentral:rRNA from 1 species
UAUUGCCUACGGGGGGCAGCAGUGAGGAAUAUUGGUCAAUGGUCGGGAGACUGAACCAGCCAAGCCGCGUGAGGGAUGAAGGUACAGAGUAUCGUAAACCUCUUUUGUCAGGGAACAAAGGCGGGGACGUGUCCCCGGAUGAGUGUACCUGAAGAAAAAGCAUCGGCUAACUCCGUGCCAGCAGCCGCGGUAAUACGGAGGAUGCGAGCGUUAUCCGGAUUUACUGGGUGUAAAGGGAGCGUAGACGGAGGAGCAAGUCUGAUGUGAAAAUCCGGGGCCCAACCCCGGAACUGCAUUGGAAACUG